UAAACAGUCUCAGCUUAUUCUCAAUACUCCC
rnacentral:piRNA from 1 species